rnacentral:lncRNA from 1 species
GGCCGGGCAUAGUCGCGGGCCGGCGGAGGACCGAGCGCGGGCGGUCGCCUCACAGCACCAUCGCGGCGGCGGCGGCUUUGUGGGUCGCAGGCUCUGCUGCGCUCCCCCGGCCGUCGCGCCGCGGCCCUUUCAUCUGCUCCACGUGAGGGGUUAUCCCCGCCCCCGCAGCGUCGUGACCCGCUCUCCCCUCCCUCCCCGCGCUCGGCCGCGGCCACCUCUGAAGGGAGCGGGUAGGCGGGGCGGGCGCGCCUGCGGCGAGAGGCGGGGCCCGGAGGCCUCGCCCGCCCCGCCCAAUCGACUGAGUCCCGCCCCGACUCCGUUCUUGGCCACGCCCCUCCGCCCUUGCUCCGCCCAGGUAGUCUUUUUUCGGUCACGCCCCUUCCUCUUAGCCACGCCCCCUGGUCUGUACUCCGCCCUCCGCGGCAGACAUUUCUCUUGGCAGUUGCUGGAGUAUGGGGAGAGUAAGGUCCUCAACCUGUUCCCGGGCGGUUUCGCCCCCUCGGCGCACCCUGCUUUGGUGCCGCAAUUAGAGUCACUGGGGCGUCAAAGGCCUCGUCCUUCCGUCCAAGGAUGCUUCAUCCGCAGCUCCGGCACUGCUGGCCACCCUCACUCGGUGCUCGCGCCCUACCACCUCCAGGGACCGCGAAAGGCCCCGGGCGGUCAGAGGCAGUUUGCAACCCGCCGGGACACGUCCAGUUCUUACCCCUGGAGACCGUCUCCAACACUCCCUUCAAAUCUCACCAUGUGCAGAAGGGCGGAAGAGUCAACACGCUUAAUGCACAGACUUCUGGUUGCCAAACAUACCAAAGACACGUGCUCCGAACCCAGACGUCCCCAGUCACCCAGAAGAUAAACUUUUAAUUCUCUUCCCCUUUUUGGAACAGGAUUUUUCCUUCCUCAGCAAAUCUACAAGACUCACAAUUCUCUUUUAAAAGCCACAUUCAAUUUCUACUUCCUCAGUCGUCUUCCCUCCCUGACCUGAAUGGCUUUGUUUAAAUAUUUGCAAAUAUUUGGUUAGGGUGAUCUGCUUCUACUUGCUACCACACCCAAAAUAUUAAGACAAAAAGAAAAGUCAUUGAGUGUUUCCUUGAGUAAUCAGAGCAUCGAGGUUACAGUUUAAACUGAAAAGGAAUGUUUUGCCAACGUGUUGAAUAGAAAAUACAAUUGAAAAGAAAUUCACAGAACUGUGUUACUGUGUUUGGACCACCCAAAGCUUUGGCACAGAAGGUAACUGACAAAGCUAGAGUCAUUAGUUUCCCCCAAGCCAAGUUUAAUCAGUACUGACUGCUCGGGAGCACUGUCAUUUCCAAGGAUUGUGACUUUACCCACUAAGGCACAGUCCAGUCUUUUUUUUUUUUUUUUUUUGGUUUUUUCGAGACAGGGUUUCUCUGUGUAGCCCUGGCUGUCCUGGAUCUCACUUUGUAGACCAGGCUGGCCUCUAACUCAGAAAUCCGCCUGCCUCUGCCUCCCCAGUGCUGGGAUUAAAGGUGUGUGCCACCACACCUGGCACAGUCCAGUCUUUAAGGGGAGAGCAAUUAUUAUAGCCAUGCAUAGCUAGCGUUGCAAUCCUUAGAAGUAUGAGGUCAUGAACUGGUGAAUGAAUAUGCAAAUAUGGUCUAUCCAUACAAUAAAAUCGAAUUUUUAACAUAGUAAAGUUUCA